UCCUGCUGCCCCAGCAGUCAGGCUGCCCCUCACCAGUCUUGUCUGAUCUUGGAAGCUGAGCAGAGCAAGCCUGCCUUGCUGGUACUCAGAUGGGAGACUGCCUGGGAACACCAGGUACUGUAGACU
rnacentral:rRNA from 1 species